CGUGUUACAAUUGGGAGGUACAGAAGGCCGCUACCUGGCGACAGGAUGCCAAUCCCCAAAAACCUCUCUCAGUUCGGAUCGAAGUCUGCAACCCGACUUCGUGAAGCUGGAUUCGCUAGUAAUCGCGCAUCAGCCAUGGCGCGGUGAAUACGUUCCCGGGCCUUGUACACACCGCCCGUCAAGCCAUGAAAGCCGGGGGUACCUGAAGUACGUAACCGCAAGGAUCGUCCUAGGGUAAAACUGGUAAUUGGGGCUAAGUCGUAACAAGGUACC
rnacentral:rRNA from 1 species